CAUGGCUGUCGUCAGNUNGUGUCGUGAGAUGUUCGGUUAAGUCCGGCAACGAGCGCAACCCUCGCCUCCAGUUACCAGCGAGUAAAGUCGGGGACUCUGGAGGGACUAACCCGUUAGGGUGGGAAGGUGGGGAUGACGUCAAGUCAGUAUGGCCCUUACAUNUAGGGCUGCACACGUGNUNCAAUGCCUGGUACAAAAGGAACCAAUACCGCGAGGUGGAGGAAAUCCNUAAAGCCAGGCCCAGUUCAGAUUGGAGUNUGCAACUCGACUCCAUGAAGCCGGAAUCGCUAGUAAUGGUAGAUCAGNUACGCUACCGUGAAUACGUUCCCGGGCCUUGUACACACCGCCCGUCACAUCAUGAAAGCCGCUUCCGCCNGAAGUAUCCGAGCCAACCGCAAGGGGGCAGGGUCNUNNNNCAGGGGUGGUGAUUGGGAUGAAGUCGUAACAA
rnacentral:rRNA from 1 species